rnacentral:rRNA from 1 species
UACGUAGGGUGCAGGCGUUAUUCGGAAUUACUGGGCUUAAAGGGUGCGUAGGCGGUGCGGAAAGUUGGGUGUGAAAUCCCUCGGCUCAACCGAGGAACUGCGCUCAAAACUACCGUACUUGAGGAAGAUAGAGGUGAGCGGAACUUACGGUGGAGCGGUGAAAUGCGUUGAUAUCGUAAGGAACACCCGUGGCGAAAGCGGCUCACUGGGUCUUUUCUGACGCUGAUGCACGAAAGCUAGGGGAGCAAACGGG